GCUUCCUUGGCUCAGUUGGUAGAGCGUAGGUCUCAUAUUUCGGUAUGAUCGAGCAUGGCUUGGUAAUCCUAAGGUCGUGAGUUCGAGCCUCACAGGGAGCA
rnacentral:tRNA from 1 species